rnacentral:rRNA from 1 species
UAGCAGUACGAGCGCACCCCUAUCCUUAUUUGCCAGCGCGUAAUGGCGGGAACUAUAGGGAGACUGCCGGUCAAAAACCGGAGGAAGGCGGGGACGAGGUCAAGUCAUCAUGGCCCUUAUAGGUUGGGCUACACACGUGCUACAAUGGGAUGUACAGAGGGUUGCGAAAGCGUGAGCUGGAGCCAAACCCUUAAAGCAUUUCGUAGUCCGGAUUGGAGUCUGCAACUCGACUCCAUGAAGUCGGAAUCACUAGUAAUCGCGAAUCAGAAUGUCGCGGUGAAUACGUUCUCGGGCCUUGUACACACCGCCCGUCACAUCAUGGAAGUGGGUUGCACCAGAAGUGGUUAGUCUAACCUUCGGGAAGACGAUCACCACGGUGUGAUUCAUGACUGGGAUGAAGUCGUAACAAGGUAGCCCUAGGGGAACCUGGGGCUGGAUCACCUCCUU